CUUCAGUAUGCCCUACAUCUACCCGUGUGCAUAUCACUGACUGACCUGCCAGAGACCGACACUCACUGUCCAGGAACUCGACCAGUGUAUGCCACGUAUGCCUUCUCCUUCCACUCACCAUGCUUGUGCUGGGAACAGCAAUCCUUUCAUCCAGGGAUCUCCAGAAACGGAAUGAUGCCGGCAGAAGUCAAGCAAAUAACUUUCAAAGUCUCAAUGUGCUUGGAAAGAGACUGAAUGAGAUGCACCUGUGUCCUUUUAUAUAAAUACCUCAAUCAGCAAGGAACUGAGUCUCAGGAGAGGUGUUUGGCUGAGGAUUUGCAGUGCAGUUGGAGGAAG